UUCAGAACAAUUCAGCUAAAUGAAAGCCCAGUUUGGUUAGAGAUGGGUUACUGGCUGAACUAUGAAAACCCGUCAUUAUCACGUCCACAUGUGGAUAUUACACUGAAUGUUAUUGUCAGCAUCUGCUCUGUCCUGGUCAGGGUCACGGGCUGAACUGCUGCCAGCGGCUGCCGCUUCAGCCUGGAGCUCCUGGGGGGAAUGUUGUGACGUCACAGUAGGACUAAGCAAAGCAUCAGGCACAUUAAAGCUCAUCUGAUGUGUUUCUGCUUCAGUUCAGUGUUGAGCACGUCGAGGAACAGACACGAGAGAGCUAAGUCUUCAUCAGCACCAUGAAGAAACCAAAAUGCUUUAAAAGCUUUUUCUCCCGCUCUGACUGCCGGGACGAACAGGAAGAGAGUGUGACUGUGGACAAUCUGCAGGAUUUGAUCGCAGGGAUCCAAACAAUUCUAGUGGAUGAACUUAAAGACAACCUGCUUCCUCCACUGAAGGAGUUUGUAUACAGUCGAUGUUCUGCAAAAACCAUCAAUUUAAACCAGACCAGGAACCAAAACGACCCUGGACCUUCUGGACACAGUCCCAUGUUAGAACAGCAGCUUAAAACAGAGAUAGAAGAAUGCACUGAGGGGAACAUUGAAACCAUCAGAAAGGCCCAUGAAAGGGAACCAAGAGCAGAACUUCCAGAACUAAUAGAAGAAGACUUUGUGGACAGUAUGGACCUGAGGGGUCGUGUGAGGCAGGUCCUGUUCAGUAGUGCCAGCAGCACGCAGCAAGAUAAAGUCAGUCAGGAACACCGCUGAACUGAAUCAAAACUCCGGAGACGGUGAGCGUGAUCAGGAUUGGCUGACCGGGACAUGAGAGUCACGUGACAGUCCGGGGGAGCAUGGGAAUUGUAGUCCAUAUAGUUAGAAGCAGACCGUGCCCCCUCCAUCCACCCCCAAUAACAAGAGGACAAAAUCAAAGCUGAGCUGAGUGAUUACUUGAUGCCCCCCCAGUGUAGCUACUGAUACAGACUCACUCAGUGGUGGAAACAGUACAGUACAGGCUCGUGUUCCUUUUAAGAAACCUGUAAAGAACUUUUUGUAGUUCUUUUCCUAAUGUAAGGAGGCUCUGCUGCACAUUAUUUAAAAUAAGAGUUGUUUGUGAGAUAUUCUUAUAAAGGAUAUAGA